rnacentral:rRNA from 1 species
GGGUUGUGAGGUUAAGCGACUAAGCGUACACGGUGGAUGCCCUGGCAGUCAGAGGCGAUGAAGGACGUGCUAAUCUGCGAUAAGCGUCGGUAAGGUGAUAUGAACCGUUAUAACCGGCGAUUUCCGAAUGGGGAAACCCAGUGUGUUUCGACACACUAUCAUUAACUGAAUCCAUAGGUUAAUGAGGCGAACCGGGGGAACUGAAACAUCUAAGUACCCCGAGGAAAAGAAAUCAACCGAGAUUCCCCCAGUAGCGGCGAGCGAACGGGGAGCAGCCCAGAGCCUGAAUCAGUGUGUGUGUUAGUGGAAGCGUCUGGAAAGGCGCGCGAUACAGGGUGACAGCCCCGUACACAAAAAUGCACAUGCUGUGAGCUCGAUGAGUAGGGCGGGACACGUGGUAUCCUGUCUGAAUAUGGGGGGACCAUCCUCCAAGGCUAAAUACUCCUGACUGACCGAUAGUGAACCAGUACCGUGAGGGAAAGGCGAAAAGAACCCCGGCGAGGGAGUGAAAAAGAACCUGAAACCGUGUACGUACAAGCAGUGGGAGCACGCUUAGGCGUGUGACUGCGUACCUUUUGUAUAAUGGGUCAGCGACUUAUAUUCUGUAGCAAGGUUAACCGAAUAGGGGAGCCGAAGGGAAACCGAGUCUUAACUGGGCGUUAAGUUGCAGGGUAUAGACCCGAAACCCGGUGAUCUAGCCAUGGGCAGGUUGAAGGUUGGGUAACACUAACUGGAGGACCGAACCGACUAAUGUUGAAAAAUUAGCGGAUGACUUGUGGCUGGGGGUGAAAGGCCAAUCAAACCGGGAGAUAGCUGGUUCUCCCCGAAAGCUAUUUAGGUAGCGCCUCGUGAAUUCAUCUCCGGGGGUAGAGCACUGUUUCGGCAAGGGGGUCAUCCCGACUUACCAACCCGAUGCAAACUGCGAAUACCGGAGAAUGUUAUCACGGGAGACACACGGCGGGUGCUAACGUCCGUCGUGAAGAGGGAAACAACCCAGACCGCCAGCUAAGGUCCCAAAGUCAUGGUUAAGUGGGAAACGAUGUGGGAAGGCCCAGACAGCCAGGAUGUUGGCUUAGAAGCAGCCAUCAUUUAAAGAAAGCGUAAUAGCUCACUGGUCGAGUCGGCCUGCGCGGAAGAUGUAACGGGGCUAAACCAUGCACCGAAGCUGCGGCAGCGACGCUGAUGCGUUGUUGGGUAGGGGAGCGUUCUGUAAGCCUGCGAAGGUGUGCUGUGAGGCAUGCUGGAGGUAUCAGAAGUGCGAAUGCUGACAUAAGUAACGAUAAAGCGGGUGAAAAGCCCGCUCGCCGGAAGACCAAGGGUUCCUGUCCAACGUUAAUCGGGGCAGGGUGAGUCGACCCCUAAGGCGAGGCCGAAAGGCGUAGUCGAUGGGAAACAGGUUAAUAUUCCUGUACUUGGUGUUACUGCGAAGGGGGACGGAGAAGGCUAUGUUGGCCGGGCGACGGUUGUCCCGGUUUAAGCGGGUAGGCUGGUUUUCCAGGCAAAUCCGGAAAAUCAAGGCUGAGGCGUGAUGACGAGGCACUACGGUGCUGAAGCAACAAAUGCCCUGCUUCCAGGAAAAGCCUCUAAGCAUCAGGUAACAUCAAAUCGUACCCCAAACCGACACAGGUGGUCAGGUAGAGAAUACCAAGGCGCUUGAGAGAACUCGGGUGAAGGAACUAGGCAAAAUGGUGCCGUAACUUCGGGAGAAGGCACGCUGAUAUGUAGGUGAAGCGACUUGCUCGUGGAGCUGAAAUCAGUCGAAGAUACCAGCUGGCUGCAACUGUUUAUUAAAAACACAGCACUGUGCAAACACGAAAGUGGACGUAUACGGUGUGACGCCUGCCCGGUGCCGGAAGGUUAAUUGAUGGGGUCAGCGCAAGCGAAGCUCUUGAUCGAAGCCCCGGUAAACGGCGGCCGUAACUAUAACGGUCCUAAGGUAGCGAAAUUCCUUGUCGGGUAAGUUCCGACCUGCACGAAUGGCGUAAUGAUGGCCAGGCUGUCUCCACCCGAGACUCAGUGAAAUUGAACUCGCUGUGAAGAUGCAGUGUACCCGCGGCAAGACGGAAAGACCCCGUGAACCUUUACUAUAGCUUGACACUGAACAUUGAGCCUUGAUGUGUAGGAUAGGUGGGAGGCUUUGAAGUGUGGACGCCAGUCUGCAUGGAGCCGACCUUGAAAUACCACCCUUUAAUGUUUGAUGUUCUAACGUGGACCCGUGAUCCGGGUUGCGGACAGUGUCUGGUGGGUAGUUUGACUGGGGCGGUCUCCUCCUAAAGAGUAACGGAGGAGCACGAAGGUUGGCUAAUCCUGGUCGGACAUCAGGAGGUUAGUGCAAUGGCAUAAGCCAGCUUGACUGCGAGCGUGACGGCGCGAGCAGGUGCGAAAGCAGGUCAUAGUGAUCCGGUGGUUCUGAAUGGAAGGGCCAUCGCUCAACGGAUAAAAGGUACUCCGGGGAUAACAGGCUGAUACCGCCCAAGAGUUCAUAUCGACGGCGGUGUUUGGCACCUCGAUGUCGGCUCAUCACAUCCUGGGGCUGAAGUAGGUCCCAAGGGUAUGGCUGUUCGCCAUUUAAAGUGGUACGCGAGCUGGGUUUAGAACGUCGUGAGACAGUUCGGUCCCUAUCUGCCGUGGGCGCUGGAGAACUGAGGGGGGCUGCUCCUAGUACGAGAGGACCGGAGUGGACGCAUCACUGGUGUUCGGGUUGUCAUGCCAAUGGCACUGCCCGGUAGCUAAAUGCGGAAGAGAUAAGUGCUGAAAGCAUCUAAGCACGAAACUUGCCCCGAGAUGAGUUCUCCCUGACCCUUUAAGGGUCCUGAAGGAACGUUGAAGACGACGACGUUGAUAGGCCGGGUGUGUAAGCGCAGCGAUGCGUUGAGCUAACCGGUACUAAUGAACCGUGAGGCUUAACCUUACAACGCCGAAGCUGUU